GCUUUACUGUUCCCUGGGAUUGGGUUUGGGCCUUUCUUGCGCAGCUUAGGUGGGAGGCAGAGAAGAUUUCCUUCCGGGGAAAUUAGAGCCACCAAUGAGACACCACCCUAGAAAGGCUAGAAUUCUAACUUUGUACCUAGCAGAAGGUCAGAGGACAUUCCCAGGUAGACAGUUUCUAUGGGGCGUAGGCCUCCUAAAAAGUAACGGAGGCGUGCAAAGGUUUCCUCAGGCUGGACGGAAAUCAGCCUUUGAGUGUAAAGGCAGAAGGAAGCUUGACUGCAAGACUUACACGUCGAGCAGGGACGAAAGUCGGCCUUAGUGAUCCGACGGUGCCGAGUGGAAGGGCCGUCGCUCAACGGAUAAAAGUUACUCUAGGG
rnacentral:rRNA from 1 species